rnacentral:rRNA from 1 species
CCGGCGCACGGGUGAGUAACGCGUAUGCAACUUACCUAUCAGAAGGGGAUAACCCGGCGAAAGUCGGACUAAUACCGCAUGAAGCAGGGAUCCCGCAUGGGAAUAUUUGCUAAAGAUUCAUCGCUGAUAGAUAGGCAUGCGUUCCAUUAGGCAGUUGGCGGGGUAACGGCCCACCAAACCGACGAUGGAUAGGGGUUCUGAGAGGAAGGUCCCCCACAUUGGUACUGAGACACGGACCAA